rnacentral:tRNA from 2 species
GGUGAAGUGGCCGAGUGGCUGAAGGCGCACGCCUGGAAAGUGUGUAUACGUUAAUCGCGUAUCGAGGGUUCGAAUCCCUCCUUCACCGCCA